rnacentral:sRNA from 1 species
AAGGAGUCUACCAAGUCUGCGAGUAUUUGGGUGUGGAAAACCCUUGUGCGCAAUGAAAGUGAACAUGGGGUGGGAUGGCCUGCUGCGGCGGGCUUGCACCAUCGACCGGUCCGGAUUCCCUGAUGAUGGAUCUGAGUGAGAGCAGGCUUGAUGGGACCCGAAAGAUGGUGAACUAUGCCUGAAUAGGGUGAAGCCAGAGGAAACUCUGGUGGAGGCUCGUAGAGAUUCUGACGUGCAAAUCGAUCUUCAAAUUUGGGUAUAGGGGCGAAAGACUAAUCGAACCAUCUAGUAGCUGGUUCCCUC